GUAGCAAUAUUUGGAAUGUUCAGCGGCGAAAGGGUGCGUAACACGUGGGUAAUUUGCCGUGAAGUUGGGGAUAACUCGCUGAAAGGCGAGCUAAUACCGAAUGUGAAAAUUGGAAGGCAUCUUUUGAUUUUCAAAGUUGGGGACCGUAAGGCCUGACGCUUCAUGAUGAACCCGCGGCCUAUCAGCUAGUUGGUGAGGUAACGGCUCACCAAGGCUAAGACGGGUAGCUGGUCUGAGAGGACGACCAGCCACACUGGAACUGAGACACGGUCCAGACACCUACGGGUGGCAGCAGUCGAGAAUUUUUCUCAAUGGGGGAAACCCUGAAGGAGCGACGCCGCGUGGGGGAUGAAUGGCUUCGGCCCGUAAACCCCUGUCAUUUGCGAACAAAUUGCUUCACCUAACACGUGAAUCAUUGAUUGUAGCGGAAGAGGAAGGGACGGCUAACUCUGUGCCAGCAGCCGCGGUAAUACAGAGGUCCCAAGCGUUGUUCGGAUUCACUGGGCGUAAAGGGUGCGUAGGUGGUCGGGUAAGUCUGAUGUGAAAUCUCUGGGCUCAACCCAGAAACUGCAUUGGAUACUAUUCGGCUAGAGAGUCGGAGGGGGGACUGGAAUACUUGGUGUAGCAGUGAAAUGCGUAGAUAUCAAGUGGAACACCAGUGGCGAAGGCGAGUCCCUGGACGACUUCUGACACUGAGGCACGAAAGCUAGGGGAGCAAACAGGAUUAGAUACCCUGGUAGUCCUAGCCCUAAACGGUGCACGUUUGCUGUAAA
rnacentral:rRNA from 1 species